CCACGGGUGAGUAACACGUAUCCAACCUGCCGUCUACUCUUGGACAGCCUUCUGAAGGAAGAUUAAUACAAGAUGGCAUCAUGAGUCCGCAUGUUCACAUGAUUAAAGGUAUUCCGGUAGACGAUGGGGAUGCGUUCCAUUAGAUAGUAGGCGGGGUAACGGCCCACCUAGUCUUCGAUGGAUAGGGGUUCUGAGAGGAAGGUCCCCCACAUUGGAACUGAGACACGGCCCAA
rnacentral:rRNA from 1 species